rnacentral:lncRNA from 10 species
GGGAAGGAAGGAGGGAAUUCAAAUGCCAGAGAAUUGUUCAGUUUCGCUUUUAAAGAUGUUAACACUCAUUUAUACAUCUGCAAGACACUCCCCUUAAAGAAAAGUUCUAUGAGUGUGGGUCUGGUUGCAUGAAUAAGGAUAAAAUUACUUUUUUAGACGAUGUUUCCCACAUAUAAUUCAGAGACCCCUGAAAUUAGGUAUCCCUCUUGUAGAUGUCCUUGAGAUGCUGCUGGACCUGGGAAAGAGGAAACUGGGAUAUGGGUCUAUGCCAAAAGGUGCUUCUAGUUACAGGACAGAGAGGAAAGGGGCAGAGGGAGAAAAACCUGAAGUCUGAGAAUCUGGAUUGCAGAAGACUACCGAGGUCGUGGGAGAAGGGAGAGAAAACAAGGAUGAAAACCGAAAGGGGAAGAGGCAUGAAAUGUUGCCAGAUGUCAAAAGGCAUUUGGAGAGAAGUUGGGAAUUGCAUUAAGAAAACCACUGCAAAUCUCAUUUCAGACCAUUUAGAGAUAUGCCCCCUGGGAACUGCGAGCUCAGGCUGUUUAGCAUCAAACAAAUGGAUCCACUCCAUCCCCACCCUAAUUAAAUAAAUCAUUCAGUAAUUCCACUGGGUUAAAGAACCAAAAUAUUAAAAACCUUCAGGGCCUACUCUUGCCAAAUAUGUCAGGGAUCGUGUGUGUGUGUGUGUGUGUGUGUGUUCUGAGACACCACUACUGUUAAAUAGGCAGAGCUAAGACUUAGGGGACUGGCAGACUAUUGCAAAAAGGGCACGGGGCAGAGGGACUAUGUUGUGAGCCUGCGAAAGAAGUUUGUGUGGGGACUGUGGGCAGUGAACGCGUUGGGAACAAUAUGGAAAACUGGGAGCCGCCUUGGAAUCUACAGGGCCGGGACCCACUCGAGCCAUCCACACUUGCCCCAGCCUCCUCCAAAACAGCACACUUUCCGGCUGAAGAAAAGAAGAAUGGUAUUCACGCAGUUCCCAUUUUACAGAUGAAAACAAGAGGACUUUUUCUGUGAAGUCAAGAAAGUGGUUACAAUGGUACUUUCAGCCUGUCCGAAUUAUGUAUUGCCCCUCCCCUUUUUAUUAAUAACAUUGAAGUGUGAUGGGACAACCACUGAAGCCGUCAGUUGAAACCUGCUGGGACUUUUUAGCCAUUCUCUUCAACAUAAAGAAUGGGUGUUUUUGGAGGGGGUGAGAGGAAUGGGGAAAUGUUGUCAAAGAGUACAAUGUUUUAGUUGAGACAGGAAGAAUAUAUUUUGUUGAGAUCUACAGCACAGCAUGGUGACUGUAGUUAACAAUGAAGUAUUGUGUAUUUCCAAAUUGCUAAGACAAUAAAUUUCAAAUGUUCUCACCACAAAAAAGAUAGGUUUUGAGGUGAUGAAUCUAUUAA